AAAUUAUUAUUAGAUAUUUUGGAUUUAUCAAAUAGUUAAUACACAUUACACACAGUUCGAAAGUUGAAGUAUUAAAAAAAUAUGUUCCAAUAAUCCGAUGAGACUCGCGCCACUCGCACAAUGUUAGGUUCCUAGCUCUUAAAUUUUGACUCGCGGAAUUUUAGUUGCAAUGAAGUAGAUGUUAACAAUUUGAAUAUACGGUAUUACGCAUGGUUAAAUCAUACAUUUAUUGUUUGGUAAAAUAAUCUUAUCUAAAUAAAUAAAUACUUGUAACUGAAUAACUAUAUGUAAAUAUAAUUACUGUACGUCUUUAGCAUAGGUAUAAUAUAUUAAAAUGUACCUAUUACUAAUUUAACUUAUACACUCAUUUAAUUUGAUAACUGUAUAAUGUCUAAUCCUAAUACUAUACCUAAUCUAUAUUUAUAAUACCUAAACCAGUUGAUAGUUUUAAAAAUAUAAUAAAUAUUCGUUGUUAUUAGUAACAUCAUAUCAUUACAGAUGAAUUCAAGCAAAGUGGUUUUGUGAAUUAUAAUAAAGCUAACAAAUGUUGGGAAGCUACAAACCGUUGGAUUAAGAAUGCUGAUAAUUACAGUGAAACCACAGUGAGACCAGUAGCAUAUUGUGACUCAUAUAAUAAAUAGAUAAAAAAAAUUAUUUUUUAUUGUAUACUCGCACUUUUGAAAUUAUGAUGGUUUAAUGUAAGACAUUUUGUUCCUUAUUAGAUAAAACGAUUUUAAAUUUUAUAUUUAUGAUUUAAAUAAUCAAAUUAGAUAUAUUAAUAACAUCGUUUUAUCUGAUAAAGCAUAGUUUUUCUAUAUUUUAUUAUGUAUUAUAAUACUGUCUCACCAUCAUUAUAU